AGAGAAUUGUCACAAUGCAUAGUUCCGACCGAUCGCCCGUCAACCAAUCAGAUCGCGUCUUUCCGUCACCGCGGGAUAGCUUGUUGCUAAGGCGCCAUUAGGUCCCCCAAGCUUUCGGUUGUCAGGACAUUUGACCCUGCAAAGUAGCUUGCCGUUUUUAGUGAUAAUGGGGAAACGCUGUGCAUGGGGGACUUGCGAUUCUGAUGAGGGAUAUCCUGAGAGGCUUGGGAAUGCACUUUUCAUUCCUUUUCCAAAACUCAAGUUCCGUUUGGAAACGUGUUUGCGAUGGAUUCGGGCUUGUGGAAGACCCCAUCAUCAGCUGAAUAACAACAUCAACAAACACAAAUAUGUGUGUUCAAAGCAUUUCAAGACCAACAGCAGAGUUCCCAUACCCUAUUGCUAUUGGGGGAAAUGUGACCCCAACCCGGCCACCACCAAAAGAGAGGAUCCGUCUGGAUACCUGUGAUUCAUCUCCAAGACAACUGUUUCAAGCAAACAGAGAAAUAUCCCCCCA